UGGCUGGUUCUCUUUGGAGACGGGCUGCUCUCUAUUGUUGUGUGCACUCUUCAGUAAAGAGCUUUGUGUUCGGACCUUGCUGGUGUUGCCUGUCUCUCUCCGGUCAGACAACGAACCGUGCCAUCUGGGGUUCGAGUCCUCGACAAUUUGGCGACCACGAAGGGACCUGUCUGACUCUCCGGCACGGGAUCAGACUCUAAAGCAAUGCAGCGCACAUCCUCCGGUUUCAAGGAGCCUUGCCAGUGAUCUGAUCCCUGCGUCGGCGAUAAGGCAUGUUCUGUGAACCAGCAGGAGCCCAUAGAAAUCCAGCAACGUCCACCUACCCUUUGAGUAGGAUCCAGAUCCAGGUCUUCGGGGUUUGAGUCCCUGGAGAGGUGAAAGAAGUCCUACUCCAAGGAUCUUGAGCAAACCUGCGAUUUGUUAAAACCAGGUGACUGGGUCUACAUAAAGGUCCAUCAA